rnacentral:tRNA from 1 species
AGCAGCGUAGCUCAGUGGAAAGAGCCCGGGCUUGGGAGUCACGGGUCGUGGGUUCGAAUCCCUCUGCCACUU